UAAUCUUUUCCUUUUCUUCACAG
rnacentral:miRNA from 1 species